GGGUCCUUCUGCAUGCAAAUCGAAUUUUAUCCCAUUCUAGACAAAUGUAUGCGCAAAGCCAGUGAAAAAAAAGUUCUGAUCCCAUUCAUAUGUAUGUUUAUUGAUACUUUUUUUUUGUUAGUAUUCAUUUUUUUAGUUGAUCAUUUCAAGUCAUUGUUGCACUCUUACUUAAAUUCAAAUUCAUUUUUAUAUCUGCCGAGCACUACGUACUAAUUAUUGCUAUUGAAUGUCUCAGUUGAGAUCAAUGUUAGGGUUUAGGUACCCAAACUCUACUUGUUUAGCCAUACACUUCGGUAACUUGAACAUCAAGAUAUGAGUUAGAAGAAGAAGACUAGGGCAAAUCCAAAAUGGUCUUUAAUCUUUUCUAUAUCCCAAAAUCUUUGAAAAAAACUUUUUACCUCUUGUUUCCAUGUUGCAGAGAGACUUGUAGUUUACACUCUACUUCAAGGCUUUUCUUAUAGCUGCUACUAAUGGCUCUCAUCUCUUGAACCUUGUGAUAUACCGCUCCCCAUGGCCAAAGGAUGAGAAACGGUGUCGUCUUAAGGUUAUUAAAGAGAAGGGUUGCUGAAGGAGAAGACAUUUAGACAUAGGGACACAUAGCGGGUGUUUUCUCAGACGGAGGAGCGAAGGAGACGAGAAUGCCAUUUCUUCUUCUUCGCCGGCGAGGUUUAAGGAAAAUAGUCAAAUACAGAUUAUUACUCAAACGGCCCAUUAUGUUACUAGUUAAUAAUGCCCACUAUCCAACUAACCCGAAUAUGGCAUUAUCCAAUUAACCCGAAUAUGAGCCCAUUUGUUAGUUGUGGUGUCAAUAACUUUGCUUAUACCGGUUCAGUCACUCGAGUAGUUUUUUACCUUGAUAAAUAAAUUAUUACGCAUUAAGGAAAAUAUGAUCGGAUGCAACGAGACGUUACUGGAGGCGACUUUUGAUUAUUAUUUAGAAUGUUGUCGUCCUCGUUUCUAUCUAUCCUUAGUUCUCUAAGGUUUUUGUCACUCAUUUGAGGUUGUCUUUCCCAUUAUUUGAAUCAAUUCAGAAGUUCAAAAAAAAAG
rnacentral:lncRNA from 1 species